ACAUCUUGAUAUUGCUUUCGUAAUUUAUACUGACAUAAAAUAAUAUUUUUCACUGUUUUGCAAUGUCUUUUUAAUUUCUGUAUUGCAGCUAGAGGAAGUCCAAAGAAAACUUGGAUUUGCUCUUUCUGACAUCUCGGUGGUUAGCAAUUAUUCCUCUGAGUGGGAGCUGGACCCUGUAAAGGAUGUUCUAAUUCUUUCUGCUCUGAGACGAAUGCUAUGGGCUGCAGAUGACUUCUUAGAGGAUUUGCCUUUUGAGCAAAUAGGGAAUCUAAGGGAGGAAAUUAUCAACUGUGCACAAGGAAAAAAAUAGAUAUGUGAAAGGUUCACGUAAAUUUCCUCACAUCACAGAAGAUUAAAAUUCAGAAAGGAGAAAACACAGACCAAAGAGAAGUAACUAAGACCAAAGGGAUGUGUUUUAUUAAUGUCUAGGAUGAAGAAAUGCAUAGAACAUUGUAGUACUUGUAAAUAACUAGAAAUAACAUGAUUUAGUCAUAAUUGUGAAAAAUAAUAAUAAUUUUUCUUGGAUUUAUGUUCUGUAUCUGUGAAAAAAUAAAUUUCUUAUAAAACUCGGGUCUAA
rnacentral:sRNA from 1 species